GAUGAACGCUAGCGGCAGGCUUAACACAUGCAAGUCGAGGGGUAUAGUUCUUCGGAAUUAGAGACCGGCGCACGGGUGCGUAACGCGUAUGCAAUCUACCUUUCACAGAGGGAUAGCCCCAGAGAAAUUUGGAUUAAUACCUCAUAGUAUAGCAGUUUCGCAUGAAACCACUAUUAAAGUCACAACGGUGAAAGAUGAGCAUGCGUCCCAUUAGCUAGUUGGUAAGGUAACGGCUUACCAAGGCAACGAUGGGUAGGGGUCCUGAGAGGGAGAUCCCCCACACUGGUACUGAGACACGGACCAGACUCCUACGGGAGGCAGCAGUGAGGAAUAUUGGACAAUGGGCGCAAGCCUGAUCCAGCCAUGCCGCGUGCAGGAUGACGGUCCUAUGGAUUGUAAACUGCUUUUGUACAGGAAGAAACACUGGUUCGUGAACCAGCUUGACGGUACUGUAAGAUAAGGAUCGGCUAACUCCGUGCCAGCAGCCG
rnacentral:rRNA from 1 species